rnacentral:rRNA from 1 species
AUUGAACGCUGGCGGCAUGCCUUACACAUGCAAGUCGAACGGUAACAGGUCUUCGGAUGCUGACGAGUGGCGAACGGGUGAGUAAUACAUCGGAACGUGCCCGAUCGUGGGGGAUAACGAAGCGAAAGCUUUGCUAAUACCGCAUACGAUCUACGGAUGAAAGCAGGGGACCGCAAGGCCUUGCGCGAACGGAGCGGCCGAUGGCAGAUUAGGUAGUUGGUGGGAUAAAAGCUUACCAAGCCGACGAUCUGUAGCUGGUCUGAGAGGACGACCAGCCACACUGGGACUGAGACACGGCCCAGACUCCUACGGGAGGCAGCAGUGGGGAAUUUUGGACAAUGGGCGAAAGCCUGAUCCAGCCAUGCCGCGUGCAGGAUGAAGGCCUUCGGGUUGUAAACUGCUUUUGUACGGAACGAAAAGACUCUGGUUAAUACCUGAGGUCCAUGACGGUACCGUAAGAAUAAGCACCGGCUAACUACGUG